UACGUAGGUGACAAGCGUUAUCCGGAUUUAUUGGGCGUAAAGCGCACGCAGGCGGCUGAUUAAGUCUGACGUGAAAUCUCUCGGCUUAACCGGGAGCGGUCGUUUGGAAACUAAUUGGCUUGAGGCGAUGAGAGGGGUGUGGAAUUCCCGGUGUAGAGGUGAAAUUCGUAGAUAUCGGGAGGAACACCAGUGGCGAAGGCGGCGAUCUGGGAAGAUACUGACGCUGAGGUGCGAAAGCGUGGGGAGCAAACAGGG
rnacentral:rRNA from 1 species